rnacentral:lncRNA from 1 species
CUGUAGCUUCGGGGAUCCUCUUCUAAACUGUGGUGGGAGAGAGGCUAGAAGCAGCCAGGAGGGUCCAGAGGGAAGUUGGUGAGGGCAGAGACUGAAUGACUACGGUCGGAGUUCAUUUCACCUUGUGACUAUAAGAAAGAACAUUCACAGAAACCCUUCUCAGGGGAGGCAGGGUGAGCUUGCAUAGUAGACAUUUCAGAAUGGAAGCCAAAGUGCAGGUAAACUGCAAACAGCGGGAUGCUCAGAGAAGACCAACAUGUCUAUCUCAUGUGAUGUUUUAUGAUGAUUAAUUGUGAUAAGGUUGAAAGCAGGGUGUCUUGAAGUCAAAAUGGAAAUUGGUACUUGCCGCCCCCGCUUUGUGGGGGCCAUGGAUGGAGGGGCUGCAGCAGCUCAUGGGAUGCUCUCUCUGUCAUCAGGCAGCCUCCCGACGUGCUGCCUUCCAGGCUCUGUGCUUCUGAAUUCCUCUGCAGCGGUUGGCAGGCAGCCAGUGUGCCAUGAAGGAUUAGAUUCUGUCUCUCUUCCUUUUAUACACACCCCAAGAGGAUUUCCUUCUUCAGCUUUUGAAAGACUGGCUCCAACCAGCAAAUCCAACAAGUGGGCCCAUUUGUGAACUGAGUAUCUUGGGAAUUAUGCUAUACAAAUAGGUCACAGUUGAAUAACCAGUAUGUGCAAAUUGAUUUUUCUCUUUGGGUGGGGGAAAAACCCUCCUAGUUCUCUCUAGGGAAGAUUGUAUCACCAUAUAACAACUGUCACAAGGGCACAAAAAUACAUUUUUGAGUAGAAUGAGUCAUCUGUUUCUCUGGGUGCUUCAUUUUUAGUUAUAAAGUGCGUUGAUCAUAUUUCAAAAGCCUGCUGUAUGUUCUUU